UUUACGGUGCACUGGAGUGCACAGCGGCCCCCCGCCCUGAAGCCACUGCCCGUCCGGCAGUGUCAGAAGCUGGCCCACAGACCUUCCACUCGCAUGAUGGAUUGCCUGAUACAGUUUGUUCCACUGAGGUGAAUUCCCACAAUGCCUCUGGGCUUAAAACUCGUAUUUUUUCAUCUUUCAUUUUUUUUUUGUUCAUACCAGAGCGUGCUGCAGCAGUUGGAGGAAAAAGAUGGACACUUGGGCAAAAACAGGUAAAGGAGCAAAUAAAACAAUCUAUGUGUUAAAGGAAGUGAAAGUAACAUGCAUGUGUGGAAUAUCAGGAGAAAAUUUUAAAAUUGCAUGUGCAGUGUUAAAAAACAAAAAAAUGUUUGAUAAUGAAAAAAUUUCCUUUUUGUUUUACUCAAGAUGAAGACCUGUAUACCUAGAAUUCAAGACACAACAGACUGCAGCACUGAAACACUGUACAAAUAUGUGGUUUUAUACCAUGACAACUUUUAAUUAGAUUUUGAGAGAGCAAAAAUUUAUGGAGAAUUUUAUUCAUUGCCUCAAAGUUAUAAUGGAUUAUAAUGUAUGACUUUCACACAAACGUUAUUUUAAUAUCUCACCACUGUAACAACAUCGAACAUCUAAAUUAUAAUGAGGUUUCCACAUAAUAUGGAAAAAUGACAUUUGUUUUUACACAAUUGUUGUUGGAACAGGAAUUUGCAAUAACAUCUUAUAAUAACUUGUAAUAAUGUAGGAAUGCAGUCCAGGAACGAGUAAAUGGAGAAGCCUGUUAGCUAUAGCAGUGUAGCAAGCUACACUCAACUCAUGUUUUGUCAAUCUAAAUUUAUAAUGUUUUCCAUCUACCUUGAAACACAAAAUAGUACAUAAAAAUUUUCAUUACAAGCAACUUAAUAAUAGCAUUAUUAAAAUAUACCGCUGAACGAGACACAUGACAAAUGAUUGAAUGAAUAAUUAAAAUUAAAUUAAAUGCUGUUUAUUAUAAUGGGGCCAUCGGCCUUGAGCAGUUCUGACACGAAUGUGAUCCAUUUACAGUGUCUGUCAGGUAGCUGGCAUCUUCCAAGACCCCUAUGCAUCUUGAGUGUGUGCAUUUUUUGUAAUUAUUACAUUGUGGGAUACAGAUUUCCUCACAGUUUUCAAAAUUAAAAACCUGAAACUUUUAACCUUGUGGGGACAUCUUUGUAGUCCCCACAAGGACAACUUCAAAUUUGAAAAAUGAAUGGAGAGUCAUGCAAAGUGCAUGUGUGCAUGUUUGCGUGUGUAUGAAUGUGACUGCUUCUAGAAUUCCAUGAUUAUCCCGCUGAAGGGGAAAAUCCAAAUGCUACUGGCAGAAAGUGAGAAUGCUGUUGGUAUGAGAGCCCGUGUGACUUGGGGUGAUGCACAUACCCACAGCAAAAAGAAAGCAAGUGGAGGUGUCCAGGAUUCUAGGUUAGUCUAGAUGGCGUGAUGUGCAGGACGGAAGCACUAUUGCUAAAUGAAAGUCCUCUGGGGCUCGACUAAGGACUGUGAACAAAUGAAACGUUCAGAGAAGCAGUGAAGAAAUAGAUCUCGGAAACAUCCUAAGCAGAGGGCGGGUGGGUCUUUGCCGCAUCGAGUGCCGUACAGACACGGUCCACCUUAACAUCAUCAUCUUCUUCUUCUUCAUUAUCAUCUUCGUCACCGUCUUCAUCAUCAUCAUAAUUUUUUAUUUCUUGUUUUGACAGAUCUGUCCUCAGAACACAGUAACUACGCUGACAUUGAAACUGAGAAAAGAUGGUGAAAAAAGAAAAAGAGUUUUGUCGUUACUGUAAUUUCCACGAAUAUUCCACUGUAAUUCCCUUAGGCGAACUAAGAAAUUUUGAUGCGAAAUUAAACAGACCCAGUUUUGGUCAUAACUCGAUUUUGAUAAACUAAGCAGUUUUGCUUUUGUGCCCCCCAGCCCAAAAGGUGUGAGUUGUCAGCUAUAACCUAUAUACUGUAUAUAAUUAUUUACAUACUCCACCUGUGAUUGAGAUGCAUACAUUCUCUGAUGCUGAAACAAAGGCACUUCUGAGUCAAUGCUGAGUAACAAUAACUGUCAACUGCCUUUAUCAUAUAAACCAAAAUUAAAGCAUCAUAUAUGAUAUUCAACUGACUCCCUUUUCUGAAUUAGGACUAUUUUGCAAUAGAAAACAUUUGGCACACCUGCAAACAUCUGACUUCAAUGUCUUGAGGUAUGUCCAUCAGUGUGGGUUAUUUCGGAGACCUGCACUGUAACACAAGUCUGUGCAACUCGACGGCAGAGUGGGUUGAUUGCUAUGUAAACGUCAGCGUUGGACCACAGGAAGUGCGGCCAGACAGCCGAUGCUGAGGGAAGCACUUUUCUUGUGUAGACGACAAAAAAACAGGGAAAAAAAACUGACGGGACAAAUGAACGUAAUUGAAACAUGACUGUGCCUUACUGAUUCUUACAGGCAUUCCGGUGAAAUUAAGAAACUGCAAUGACUGGGUUCAGAAGUGUUCGAUUUUUAGGGCCAAAUGUUUCUGCUUUUGCACUGGGAAUAGUGAAAAAUGGAUACAAAGUAGGUACAUGGAGGAGAAGAUGGAGCAACAAGAAUGACAGCUUGAGGAAUAUGAAUAUAGAGAAAAUUACGAAGACGCUGAGGGAAACCAGACAGUCUGCAGGAGGCCGAAUGGCAUUAAUUUCGGGAGCAAGUGAAAUCUCCAGAGAAAGUAUGAGCUCCAGCGACAAGGAGUGAAAAAGAGGCAACGGGUCACUUAAACAGCCGUGUGUGUGCAGUGAUGGCUGUGGCCCCGCAGAGCCACCCAGAACCGGGGGGCCGUUUGGGGAGAGACUGCAGGAAUGUCCCAGCCUGUGGACCAUACCACCAACAUCAGAGGGAUUACGGCUCAUUUGCUUACCCUGCUCUGCCAAAAGCAAUACCAGUUAACUGCAGCUCACGGCAGAGACACCAAGCUCGCUGGGAGCAGCUCCUAAAGGGCCCAGACAAACACCAGCAGAGAUGUGAAAGUGACACCAUGCAUGUGCAAGACCAACCCCAC